rnacentral:rRNA from 1 species
ACGGGGGGUGCAAGCGUUAUUCGGAAUCAUUGGGCGUAAAGAGCACGUAGGCGGCCUGGUAAGUCAGAUGUGAAAGCCCGGGGCUUAACCCCGGAAGUGCAUUUGAUACUGUCAGGCUUGAGUAUGGGAGAGGGAAGUGGAAUUCCUGGUGUAGAGGUGAAAUUCGUAGAUAUCAGGAGGAACACCGGUGGCGAAGGCGACUUCCUGGACCAAUACUGACGCUGAGGUGCGAAGGCGUGGGUAGCAAACAGG